ACGGAGGAUGCGAGCGUUAUCCGGAUUUAUUGGGAUUAAAGGGUGCGUAGGCGGAUAGAUAAGUCAGAGGUGAAAACCUGCAGCUUAACUGUAGACUUGCCCUUGAUACUGUCAGUCUUGAGUAUGUUCAAGGUAGGCGGAAUGUGUAAUACAUCGUUGAAAUGCUUAGAUAUUACCAAGAACACCGAAGGCGCAGGCAGCAUACUGGCCCGAUCCUGAGGAUGAUGCACGAGAGCGUGGGGAUAGAACAG
rnacentral:rRNA from 1 species